rnacentral:rRNA from 1 species
GAUGAACGCUGGCGGCGUGCCUAAUACAUGCAAGUCGAGCGAACAGACGAGGAGCUUGCUCCUCUGACGUUAGCGGCGGACGGGUGAGUAACACGUGGAUAACCUACCUAUAAGACUGGGAUAACUUCGGGAAACCGGAGCUAAUACCGGAUAAUAUAUUGAACCGCAUGGUUCAAUAGUGAAAGACGGUUUUGCUGUCACUUAUAGAUGGAUCCGCGCCGCAUUAGCUAGUUGGUAAGGUAACGGCUUACCAAGGCAACGAUGCGUAGCCGACCUGAGAGGGGGAUCGGCCACACUGGAACUGAGACACGGUCAAGACUCCUACGGGAGGCAGCAGUAGGGAAUGUUCCGCAAUGGGCGAAAGCUUGACGGAGCAACGCCGCGUGAGUGAUGAAGGGUUUAGGAUCGUAAAACUCUGUUAUUAGGGAAGAACAAAUGUGUAAGUAACUGUGCACGUCUUGACGGUACCUAAUCAGAAAGCCACGGCUAACUACGUG